rnacentral:rRNA from 1 species
ACGGAAGGCAGCAGUGGGGACUAUUGCACAAUGGGCGCAAGCCUGAUGCAGCGAUGCCGCGUGAGGGAAGUAGGUUUUCGGAUUGUAAACCUCUGUCAACAGGGACGAAAAUGACGGUACCUGUGAAGGAAGCUCCGGCUAACUACGUGCCAGCAGCCGCGGUAAUACGUAGGGAGCAAGCGUUAUCCGGAAUUACUGGGUGUAAAGGGAGUGUAGGCGGGACUGUAAGUCAGAUGUGAAAUAUGCCGGCUCAACUGGCAGACUGCAUUUGAAACUGCGGUUCUUGAGUGAAGUAGAGGUAAGCGGAAUUCCUAGUGUAGCGGUGAAAUGCGUAGAUAUUAGGAGGAACAUCAGUGGCGAAGGCGGCUUACUGGGCUUUAACUGACGCUGAGGCUCGAAAGCGUGGGGAGCAAACAGGAUUAGAUACCCUGGUA